rnacentral:rRNA from 1 species
GACGAACGCUGGCGGCGUGCCUAAUACAUGCAAGUAGAACGCUGAAGGAGGAGCUUGCUUCUCUGGAUGAGUUGCGAACGGGUGAGUAACGCGUAGGUAACCUGCCUGGUAGCGGGGGAUAACUAUUGGAAACGAUAGCUAAUACCGCAUAAUAGUAGAUGUUGCAUGACAUUUGCUUAAAAGGUGCAAUUGCAUCACUACCAGAUGGACCUGCGUUGUAUUAGCUAGUUGGUGGGGUAACGGCUCACCAAGGCGAUGAUACAUAGCCGACCUGAGAGGGUGAUCGGCCACACUGGGACGGAGACACGGCCCAGACUCCUACGGGAGGCAGCAGUAGGGAAUCUUCGGCAAUGGACGGAAGUCUGACCGAGCAACGCCGCGUGAGUGAAGAAGGGUGUCGGAUCGUAAAGCUCGGUUGUAAGAGAAGAACGAGUGUGAGAGUGGAAAGUUCACACUGUGACGGUAUCUUACCAGAAAGGGACGGCUAACUACGUG